rnacentral:ncRNA from 1 species
AAAAAUUUGAUGACGAGAAGAGUAAGAUGAGUGCCCUGAUCGACAGAGAGUCGGUAAAUGGUGCAAGCCGAUGUUCAGAACUGAUCCGAAAAUCAUUCUCCGAGAUGCAAUGCUGAACUUUUUCAGUAGGUGUUGCCGGUUGGUCCGCCGUUAAAAGGAAUGCGUGUAAUGAUGCGUUGAUUGAGUGCCGUUUUUCGUGAACGGAACUAGGGUGGUAUCGCGAGUAAAACUCGUCCCUAUU